GGUUUCAUAGUGUAGCGUUUAUCUUGUCUGCUUUACAUGCAGAAGGUCCUGGCUUAAAUCUCCAGAGAAACCA
rnacentral:tRNA from 1 species